CACUUGUUGAAGCUUCUCAAUUUCCAGGAUCCAAUCCGGAUAAGACUCUUUUUCUCAGUGUCCUUGAUGGAAAUGGCAAUGAACUUUUUGCAGAUUGGACCAUCUCAGGGGAAUCCCAAAGAUCGGAAACUAUUUUCUUUCUUAGAAUCUUCCACACAGCAUUGAGCCUUAGGAAUUUCUAAGAAGGAUCUGAAAUGAAAAACAUCUUUUGAAAAGGUAUUUGUAUAGCUUCACUUCAGCAAGAUUCAUGGUGGGUGUUAGACUUAGUGCUGGUGUUAAGCCAAACCAUGUUUUUCAAAGACUCAUCUGGCCUCAAGGUUGGCAGGAUCAGAGUGGCCUCCCAGGAUCUAUCACAUCCUCAGAAGAGUUGGUUCAACUGGCAUGUACCCAGAUCUCUUUGAACUAGUAUGAUACUCCCUCGAGUCAAAGGCUGCUAUAUCACAUCUCCUUUAAGUCCCCCUAAGUACGACCCCAGAAGCAUUGACAAAGUGUGCUAUUACUAAAGAUUUCAGGAGGACAUAAAUGAAGAGAUUAAACUGAAAGGUACCAAAACUUCCAUCUUUGCUAAAGACCCUCAUCCAGGCUGGGUGCGGUGGCUCAUGUCUGUAAUCCCAGCACUUUGGGAGACCAAGGCGGACGGAUCACCUGAGGUCGGGAGUUCAAGACCAGCCUGAUCAACAUGGAGAAACCCCAUCUCUAUUAAAAAUACAAAAUUAGCCAGGUGUGGUGGCACAUGCCUGUAAUCCCAGCUACUAGGGAGGCUGAGGCAGGAGAAUCGUUUGAACCUGGGAGGUGUAAGUUGCGGUGAGCUGAGAUCGUGCCAUUGCACUCCAGCCUGGGCAACAAGAGCAAAACUCCAUCUCAAAAACAAACACAAAACCCUUAUCCAAUGGUCAUGCCACUCUAUCUGGCCAUGUAAUUUCUCCACCUGGCUUUCUGUAGCAACAGCCUUCUGAGGAACCUCACUCUGCCGGUCAAAACCCCUUCAACUUGUACCCUUCAUCAGCAAAGUUCUUAGCUCAACAUGUAUGCCUCUGGGGGAACUCAUCCACAUGCCAUUUAAGGAUAUUUCCAGCAACAUCAUCUUCACUACCCCAGGAUGGCAUUUUAGAGUGGAUGACUUGCCUGCUGGAUGUGUUGUUCUUGAGCGAGUUUGAGAAAACGCUACACUUUGAGAUGAAUUAAGAGUCUGUUUACUUAGCCGGCGGCAAAGAAACGGCUAACGUUUAAAGUUCUCUCGGCUUCGAAGAAGGGGCUAAGAUUUUCUUUUAUACUUUGGUUUAGAAAGGGGAGGGGGUUCUAGUUAAAACAAUUUUACAUAAGUAAAGUAGACAAAAAAGUUAAAAGGAUAAAUUGUUACAGGAAAGUAAACAGUUUUAGGUCUAGGGCCUUUAACACUAUUAUAAGGUGAUAGACGCGGGGCUUUGGGCGUUAUCAAUCGGAUGAAUUCCUGGGAACUGCGGAUAUUGCUCGCCACAGUAUCUUAUCAGUUAAUUGCAUUCUUCGAUGUGCUGGGAGUCAGCUUGCACAAGUUAAGUCCCUGAGGAAGGGGCUGCCAGUGAAAGAGCCAAGAUGGAAUCUGUCUGGCUCUCUUAGCUAAGGGAGAGUCAAUUCAGGUGGAAACAAGGCUAGGUCAUUAAAAGAAAGGGAGAGUCUAAAAACAGGGUGAGUAAAAACAUGGUUGGGCAUUACAUUCCUCACUUGUGUUUUUGGGGAAUCAAAUCGUUGAUUCUUCAGUUAUAAAAAGGGGGUUAUUUUGAGUCUUCAGAUACAUAAGUUUGACAGAAGCUAUUCGUUGUUUUACAAAAUUAAGAAACUAACUUAAUAUACAAUGCCCCAAAAUUAGACUUAUUAGUAGGAUGGGGAGGGGGUCCAGCUAACUUAGUAAUUAGAGUGGUUAGCUAUGGGUUCUAGUUGAACAUGCGUUGAUACUAGGGGAUGUUACUUUCUUGUUCUUGUUGGCGCUUUUCUAGAUUUUCUUGCACUUUUUGGAGUGUAUCUUUUAUGACUAAGAAAGGUGGAGGAACAGUUAAAUCAACUUUGUCAGGGUGUUCCUGGAACAUAGGGUUACUUAGAUCAGUUAAAGGCCUGAUUGACUUGGGUGGGCUUUAUGAGACUAGGGUUUUUUUGGAUGGUGAACAUAUACUUAACAUUAAAUCCUGGGAUAUAAAAUCUUAAUGUUCAUGACAUGCCAUGAUACUAUUGAGUUGAAUUAAGGUCAUGGACAGUUAGAGGAUUACAGUUUUUUCUAGUACAUAAUUUAGGAUGAGAAGCACGAGUUAUGGAAAGAGUUGAAGAUCUGGUUGAUCUUUUAGAGUAGGUGGCUAAAGUUACACAUGUCUAAUCAGGGCAGAAAAACUGAUAAGCAUCUUGACAGCUAGCGUCAGGGUGAUUUCUAGGACAGAGGUAAAAGUCAACAUUUUGGAGUCUUUUUUUCUGCACUUUUGGAGCUUCUGCAAUUAGUUUGGCUCUUGGAGUGUCUGAAUCUUGCUGCAAGGUCGACACUUCCUGCUCCUGGGACUGGCAGAUGGUGUUGUUUUUGUGGGUGUGGGCUGGCUUUGGGAAUAGUACAAAUAAAUCAACUGCAAAGGAGACUUCCUUGGAGGUACGGACCUUCUAAGUGGUGUUUGCAAAUACACGUCCUGUUGUGAAAGAGGUGAGGAGAAAGGAGUAGGAAGGCACAGAGGAUGUAACUGGCAAAAACAAAUAAGUGAGGUAGACAAAAAGAAUGAAUCUAAUGGCUUCACCUGACUUAGGUGCAGUUUUAAGGGGCCUGACUUAGGCCUGGGGACUUAUGUUUUGAGCUGGGCUCUGUUGGACUUUUUGAUGCGGGAGUGAUGAAUCUAGCAGGAAUGCCGCCUACUUUCAGAGCAGUUGGAGUCGUGAGGAUGACGGUGUGAGGUCUUUUCUAAGCAGGAGUGAGUCUUUCUUUUUGGAACUUUUUAACAAAUGCUAGGUCUCCUGGCUGGAAUGAAUGGCAGGACUUUUUCUGGUCAGGAAUUGGAUUGGGAAGGGCUCCUCAAACAAGUGGCAGGAUAAUAUCUUGUACCUGUUGGAGAGAAUAUAGGUACUGUAAUAAAUUAGUUUGUGAUAUUUCUGCUAAUUUCACAUCUCUUCACUUAGGCAAGAGAGGCAGCGCCUUCUUAUACAUGAUUUCAAAGGGUGAGAACUUAGCGUGGUAAGGGGUGCACCUUACUUUAAGUAGAGCUAAAGGAAGGAGACUUACUUAAUUUACACUGGUUUUUAAGAUUUUGUAAGAGUGUUUUUUAGGGUGUGGUUCAUGCGUUGUACUUGCCUGGAGCUCUGAGGUUGAUAGGCACGAUGGAGCUUCUAUUGAAUGUUUAAGGCCUUACUGACUGACUGAGCUAUAGGCGACGUGAAGGCUGUUCUAUUAUCAGACUUUAUGGCAGCAGGCAGCCUAUACUGAACGAUGAUUUCAUUGUGUAAAAACUUAACUACUGUGUUGGUGGUUUCGUUUUCGGUAGCAAAUGCCUUAGUCUAUCUGGAGAAGGUGUCUACUAGUACUAGAAGGCAUUUGUACUUAGCCUGGUGUGGUUUGACUUCUGUAAAGUCAAUUUCUUACUUUUUUCUUGGCGAGGUUUUUCAGAGACAGUGGCCUGGGCUGGGUUUAGGACUUUGUUUGGCAUUUACUUGGGCGCAGGUUGUGAACUGGAGAGCUGCUUAAUCUGUUAGGCUUUGAAGACGGGGGAUCUUAAAAUGGCUCCGCAGGAGCUGAGGUAGCUUUGCUCUUUUUAAGUGGGUGGUAGACUGUAGGUGACGGACUAAAUUUUCUUUAAGGGUUCAGGAUAUGAAGCGUCUAGAGUCAGGAAGAAUCUACUAACUUUCCUGAUUUUUAUUGACUCUGAGAUCUGAAGCCAGUUUUUUGUUGUUGUUGUUGAGUGUACGGGAUUGUCAGGCAGAUCUGGCUGUGGAAAGGAGACUGUGGGCAGCAAGUUUAGAGGCGUGACUGAAAGUCUCGCUGCGACCUGAGCUGCUGAAUCAGGUUUCUGGUUACUAUGGGCAACGGCCGUGUUUUCUUUUUGAUGUCCUUUGCAGUGGAUCACAGCUACCUGCUGAGGUGAGUAGCCUGCUUUCCUGGUAGAUGGCUUUAUGUACAUGCACAGUAGCAAAGGCGUACUUGCUGUCAGUGUAAAUGUUAAUACGUUUAUUCUUACUUUAUCAGAGAGCCUGAGUGAGGGCGAUGAAUUGAGCCUUUUGUGCUGAGGUGUUCGCUGGUAAAGCUUGAGCUUACAACACAUCUGUCUCCGUGGUAACAGCUGCACUGACUUUUCAUACUUCCUGCUUGAGGAAGCUGCUACUGUCUGUGAACAAGGCGGCAUCUGCCUUUUCUAGGGGCACAGCUUGAAGAUCAGAUCGGCCAGUUUCGAUAGUUUCUAACAGUUCUUGACAGUCAUGAGCAGGAAUAGUGCAGUCUGAGUCAGAAAGUAGUGUAGCUGGAUUGAAACACUUUGUGGGAGAGAAAGUCAAACGAGGCUGAUCUAACAGUAAACUUCGAUACUGCAAGAUGCGAGCAUUUGACAUCUAUUUGCCAGAAGCAUUUUGUAGUAAGGUCUUUAAGGCGUGAGGAGCUGUAAGUGUUAAAUUUUGGCUUAGAGUUAACUUAUCAUCUUCUUGGGCCAGGCUUGCUGUAGCCGCUAUGGCUCGCAGACAACUUGGCCAUCUAGAGGCCACAGGAUCUAGCCUCUUAGAUAAAUAGGCCACUGGGCGUCUUUAGGGUCUUAGAGUCUGAGUAAGCACGUCUUUAGCAACUCCUUGGCUUUUAUGGAGAUAUUAGGGAGGGCUAAAGCAGGGGCUUCAGUUAAUGCUAAAUUAACAGGCUAUUUCAUUCUGUACUUCUUGGAUAGCUGCCACUAAGAUUUUUGUUUGUCUUUUGAAUGCUUUAUCAGCGGCCUUUUCAGCUGCCUGUGUUGCUUGUUUUUGUUUUUUAAACUUUUGAUUGUCAAAAACUUUUUGGGCUAUUUCUAAAAGCUGACUGAUAUUUAUUCUAGCAAAUCUUUUUAGUUUUUGGAGUUUCUUUUUAAUAUCCGGGGCUGCCUGAGCCACAAAUGCUAAAUGAAGAGCACGGCUAUUUUCGGGAGCUGCCGGGUCCAAAGGGGUGUAAAUCCGAUAAGCCUCCUGGAGGCGCUCUAAAAACGUUCUUGGUGACUUAUCGGGCCUUUGGACAACUUCGGUCGUCUUAGACAAGUUUAUGGGUUUCUGAGCGGCUCUUUUAAUACUUGCGAGGAGAUACCGGUGAAAAUCGUCUAAAGCUCCCUUUCUACUUGAGGAAUUUGGGUUCUGGUUAGGCCGGGUAGAGGGAAAGACCUCCUCAAGGAGGUCUCUAACUUCUUCUUCCGGUCCGUUGGCUGAUGUGAGGAAGUACUUUUUGGCUUCUUUUUGGAUACGUUCCUUCUUUUCAGAGGUGAAAAGGGUUAAAAGGAGCUGUUGGCAAUCAUCUUAGGUGGGCGGGUUGAGUCCGGAGUACAGACUGUCAGAGAGGUCAAAGCCUGGGGCUUUUCAGAGAAGGGAGGAUUAUGGGUUUUCGAAUUAUAUAAGUCAGAAGUAGAAAAAGAACACAAACUAAGAAGGGUGCUGAGCGCUCGUCACCUGGAGGGACUUGUGCCUCUCUCAGUGGUAGUAGAGGGGCUACUUCUUCCUGCCACGGUCAUGAUUGAGAGGCAAUGGGUGGCGAGCCUACAGGGGACGUCGUCGAGCAGACAUGGGAUAACUUUAAGGGAGAAGGCUGGUUGUAAGGCGGUGGGACUGGGUGAGGGAGACUCUCCUCUUCUUCAGAGGGAGGCAGUACAGGGGGAGCUGAACCGGCUGAGGGUUGAGGCGAAAAUGCGGUCUGGCUUAGGAGGACCUUGGAGGUAGAAUUAUGAAUGGCGCAUGAACGGAGCCAUGGAGGGGGCUCCUGACUAAACUUAGCUAUUGAUCAAUGUAGGGAAACUGAUCAGGGUGGCUAGGAGUUUCAGUAACAACCUGCCACACAGCUUGAACAAUUGUGAGGUUCAAUGGCCCUUCAGGGGGCCACUCGACUCUAAACUUUGGCCAUUUUAUUUUGCACAGUGUCUGGAGCUUGCCUUUUUUAAGGCGGACUUUAUAAUCCUCUGAGGAACUGAGAGGAAAAUUCUGCAGCAUACAUUGGAGAGGGCUUUAACUUUACAAGGCUGGGAGGAAGUGUUUCUUUCUUUUUUUUUUUUGAAGGCAAUUUAAUAAGAUUGGAGCAUAGAUAUUAAACUUAGCAUGGACAGAGAAACUUAUUUCUUGGGGGACUGGAGUAGUGAAAGAACAGUAUAAAUAUGACUAGAAAGAGCAGAAAAACUUACAACAGCUAAUACUACUUGCUACAUUGCUGUAGCUUUAAGAUUGAGGGAGGAGGACUAGAGCCAGCCUGAGAUCUUCUGGGUCAGUUUGAUCUAGGCGUUCUUCUUCUUCUUCUAGAUCUGCACUUUAAAUACUUUUGGUGUCUUUAUGACUUAAACGCAAAUAGCCUAAACUUAGCUUUUUCUUUUAAGGGUUUAAAGAGUGAGAGCAGAGCCAAGUCCUGGAGACGGUAAACUUGCUGUCGCACCGUAAAACGAGAUGUGCGGGAUAGGGGGCAGGGACAAGGUGGAAAAGGACUACUCUGAUCAUUUUGAAGAUGGGAGAGUAGCCACAGAGGAACAGAGUAAGAAUCUUAACGAAGUAAAGCAGUACGGGCGUACGUUUCUUUACACAGUGUUUUACUUAAGGGCACAGGAAAAGUUACAGAAUGACAAGAGAGGUGAGCAAGGAAAUCUGCAGGGUGGCUGUUUUGAACUCACUACUGGUUUAUUUAGAGGAGGUCUAAUCACUUGGACGAGGAGUAUGGCGAUCUAAAUACUUACAACUUUCAUGGUGCUAGAAAUCUUAAUCAGGCAAAUGUUUUUCACACUUGUUCUUGUAACAACACUUGACUUGCUUCUGGCAGAAAAGACAGGACUGUGGUGGUCAGCCUAAAUGAUUGAUGAGAAAUUUAACCUCCUGUGACAAAAAAUCAGCACUAAGGACUUUGAAGAAGUUUUUACUUAGACGUCUUGGGCAAUAUCAACGUCUUGACAUGCAAAACUUUGACAACUACUAACAAGACAAUAGACACUGAACAGAACAAUCAAUAUAAAACAAACAGUUGACUUUAGGGCAUGUAAACAGUUAUGACAGUUUCUUCCUUUUUUUUUUUUCUUAGACAGACAAGGAGAGGGUUUCCUGUGAUGGGAUCAGUCAGAUGCCUGCCUGGCCACUCCCCCUGAGGGGACCUGGGCUCCUCUUACCAUUGGCAGGCCGGUAUAAACUUGCGGCUCAGAUCAAGCUAUGCCUGAUGCUGCCUUAAGCCUUAUGAGGUCGCCAAGGAACCGCAGGUGAGGAUUCAGGAGAUAAUUCUGCAAACAGAACUUCCUGAGAACUGAGAUGGGGGAAAUCGCUGGUAUUAGAAGAGUGAAAAGAAACUCCUGGAGGGCAGAGGCAUGCCUGCCAUCUUCAUCAAUGCAUUACCACCACCCAACACUAUCGGGGGACCUGCCCUGAUAAUCAGCAUGUAAGGAGGCUUAACACAACUCUGUAUGGGAACAGUCAGGUUGGAGUCUACAGGUGAAUCCAGCAGCUCCAGAGAGACAGCGACCAGCGAGAAGGGGCCAUGAUGAUGGUGGUGGUUUUGUCAAAACGAAAAGGGGGAUAUGUAGGGAAAAGAAAGAGAGAUCAGACUGUUACUGUGUCUACAUAGAAAGGGAAGACAUAAGAGACUCCAUUUUGAAAAAGACCUGUACUUUCAACCAUUGCUUUGCUGAGAUGUUGUUAAUCUGUAGCUUUGCCCCAGCCACUUUGCCCCAACCACUUUGACCCAAUCUGGAGCUCAUUAAAACAUGUGUUGUAUGAAAUCAAGGUUUAAGACAUGUAGGGCUGUGCAGGACGUGCCUUGUUAACCAAAUGUUUGCAAGCAGUAUACUUGGUAAAAGUCAUCACCAUUCUCUUGUCUCAAUAAACCAGGGACACAAUGCACUGUGGAAAGCCGCAGGGACCUCUGCCGUUGAAAGCUGGGUGUUGUUCAAAGUUUCUCCCCAUGUGAGAGUCUGAAAUAUGGCCUCGUGGGAUGAGAAAGACCUGACGGUCCCCAAGCCCGACACCUGUAAAAGGUCUGUGCUGAGGUGGAUUAGCCAAAGAAGAAAGCCUCUUGCAGUUGAGAGAGAGGAAGGCCGCUGUCUCCUGCCUGCCCCUGGGAACUGAAUGUCGCGGUAUAAAACACGAUUGUACAUUUGUUCAAUUCUGAGAUGGGAGAAAAACCGCCCUAUGGUGGGAGGCGAGACAUGUUUACAGCAAUGCUGCCUUGUUAUUCUUUACUCCACUGAGAUGUUUGGGUGGAGAGAAACAUAAAUCUGGCUUACGUACACGUCCAGUCAUAGUACCUUCCCUUGAACUUCAUUAUGACAUAGAUUCUAUUGCUCACAUGUUUGUUGCUGACCUUCUCCUUAUUAUCACCCUGCCCUCCUACUACAUUCCUUUUUGCUGAAAUAAUGAAGAUAAUAAUAAAAACUGAGGGAACUCAGAGACCCGUGCCAGUGCAGGUCCUUGGUAUGCUAAGCGCCGGUACCCUGGGCCCACUGCUGUUUCUCUAUACUUUGUCUCUGUGUCUGAUUUCUUUUCUGUCUCUCAUCCCACCUGACAAGAAAUACCCACAGGUGUGGAGGGGCAGGCCACCCCUUCAGUAUGAGAUUACAGGCAUGAAUAACCCCACCUGGCCACCUAACUCACUCUUGAGAGGCCAGAAGUGAUGCUGGAACUUUCUUCCUCUGUGGGUUAAAAAGGGAAAAUUAGGGACAACACAAGGCAGGAGAGAUGCAGCGAUGGAUAUGUCUAUAUGGAGCUUCUGUCUGCAUCCAGUAGAAAAUGCAUUUCUAGGCACCAGGUUUAAGAGCGAAAACCUGGAGUCUUGUCUGUUAGCAUUCUCCUUCCCCACAAACCAGAGAGGGAAUACAUUUGCUCCAGCACACCCGUAUGUAGGAAAUGUCACAUUCCUAUUUCUGUAACUUCAGUUAAAUCUGCUGUGAGUCCCUGGAUGCCUGGCAGGUGGAGAAUUCAAUCUUGUCGUUACCAGCAUUCCUUUCCCUUCUCCAUGGGCUUAUGUAAGAAUUCUGGGCUUACACACUGUUGGAAAGCCAGGAAGGAACUACAUCCCCCGAACUCUCCAUUCUUCCAGCUGCUCAUGAUCCAUCAACGGUCUUUGGGCCAUCUGCUAUAGCAAGACCCUCCUCACAGUGGAUAUCAGGGGCUGGGGUGGAAACGUAGGGGAUAGGAGACACUGGUCAAAGGGUACAAAGUUUCCAGUAGGAAGAAUAAGUUUUGAACAAGCUAAACUCCUCUGAAAGCUCAGUUCCUUAUCUGUAGAGCAGGGACACAUCAUUAACCUUCUAAGGAUGUUGCUGUGAGAGUAAAAGAUGAGGUUCAGCACAAUACCUAAAGCACAGUCAGGUCUCCUUAAGCUUGAACCUGCAUCGCCAUGAGCUCUACAUCUCAGGACAGAAAGGCUCACAGCCAGUUUCUCAGUUCCCAGUGAGAAGUGGAUCCCAGACCAGGCUGAACCGCAGGAUCCCCAGGGGAUACCCAGCCCUACUGAGUCAGAAUCACUGGAGGUAGAGCCUGG
rnacentral:lncRNA from 10 species